UGAGGAAUAUUGGUCAAUGGGCGAGAGCCUGAACCAGCCAAGUAGCGUGCAGGACGACGGCCCUAUGGGUUGUAAACUGCUUUUUAUAAGGGAAUAAAGUGAGUCUCGUGAGACUUUUUGCAUGUACCUUAUGAAUAAGGACCGGCUAAUUCCGUGCCAGCAGCCGCGGUAAUACGGAAGGUCCGGGCGUUAUCCGGAUUUAUUGGGUUUAAAGGGAGCGUAGGCCGGAGAUUAAGCGUGUUGUGAAAUGUAGACGCUCAACGUCUGCACUGCAGCGCGAACUGGUUUCCUUGAGUACGUGCGAGGGAGGCGGAAUGCGUUGUGUAGCGGUGAAAUGCAUAGAUAUGACGCAGAACUCCGAUUGCGAAGGCAGCUUUCCAGCACGCCACUGACGCUGAGGCACGAAAGCGUGGGGAUC
rnacentral:rRNA from 1 species